GUUAGGAUAGAUGGUGGGGCUGAGAAUGAGGACAGAUACAAAAUGGAACAAGACAAAGUCAGGACUCCUGAGGAGCCCCAAGUCAAGAGCUGCAAAGCUGGUCCACCAAAGGCCUGCCUGUUUGAAGACUGUCAAUCCAUCCCCACACCUUCCCAGGCAUCACUGAACUGGAAGUCAGAAGGUAUAAACUCUGGUUACCUCUCUAUCAUCAUAGCGUUACAUGACCUUGAACAAGUUACUUCUCUUUGGGGGGCCUCAGUUUUCCCUUCUUGUAAAAUGAGGAGGUUCAAUUAGAUAAGGCCCCUUCCAUCUCUGGCAUUCUGGAUUGCAUGUUCCUUUCCAGCCCUACCAUUUUCUGUUCUAAGGCCCCUUCCACCUCUGACAUUCUAGAAUCUGUAACAGCAUGGUGAGAUGGCAACAGAACUGGAGUAAGAAGACCUUAGUCCCACCUCAAUGAUUUAUUAAUCAUGUGACCUUGGGCAAGUCUCUUAAUGUCUCUGAAACUCAAUUUCUGCAUCAACAAAAACUGAAUAAUAAUUCCUGUCCUAAAACAAAGCUUAUAUCCAUUGAUAGGGGACUAACUAAAUAAAUCAUAGUAUAUAUAUGUAAUAGAAUACUAC
rnacentral:lncRNA from 1 species